CAGAAUGGAAUCGGCUUGUCUAGGAUGAUAACAAUUCCCAAAGAAGCCAGUGAAAUGGCUGUAAACAGAAGCGGCAAGUUUGCUGCAGUUCUACUUUUUCCAGAAAUGACCCAGACACCACUGGGUGAAAAGAACAGUUUCUUUUUCAACAAUGAAAUCCUGGGAAUUGAAAUGGGAGCACAGAUUUCCAAUCUCACAGAAACUGUAGACAUUCAGUUUAAUAAUGUGAAUAAGAAUGGAAGCAAUGCAUCUUGCAGGUCAUGGGACGGCAAAG